rnacentral:lncRNA from 1 species
AGGGCCGCCGUUGCUGGAGUUCAGCUUAGGGAAGGAGGACUCUGAGGAGGCCCCGAGCGGCGGAGCGCUUCGGGGGAGGCGCCCGCGCAGACGCGAGGCCCAUAGCCAGGACCACCACCUAGCUGGAAAAGAACUACAGCCUGUGUGGGUCCCCUCCCGACAAUUAAAAUUGCACCAUAACUCCAAAGAUGAAACGCUCCCAGAAAGAAAAGGCAAAGACCCAUCGGAAACAAAAGAGCAACUUUCACCGCCUGAUACAUACACUUCAUGACAUCCACAUUGAGACAAAAUCUCGCCGUGUGACCUACAACACCUCUCGUUCAACCCCACCUACUUGGGGUCGAAUACAGAUUUUAUCUCAUCAAACAGAAAAAUUCUUAACAGAAAAAGGAAUCCCAAAAAUGACUGGUAAUAUAAUUCUGGCUGCCUUUAUGGUAGUCAGUGCAGCGUCUGCAGAUGCCUCUAAGGAGUCCGAAACCAAGUCCGAAGUCAACAACAAGCAAUGAUGGCGAUGGCGAUUCUAGUUAAUAAAAAGGGGGGAGAUGUGGGCGGCAAGCCACCCAGGCACCGAGGCAAGAGACAGAGGACACGAGCUGUUCCAGUAUAAUAAAAUAUAAAACAAGAAUAGUUAUACCAGAUAUAGAUCUUAGAUAUGAUUAUAUACGAAUAUCAUUAAUCAUGAGUUUGUAGCAAUUACUUUUUAUUCCAAUAUUAUGAUAAUCCUCGCUCUAUAAUCAUAGCCUAGGAAAAACCAGGCCAUACAGAGAUAGGAGCUGAGGGGACAUAGUGAAGUGUGACCAGAAGACAAGAGUGCGAGCCUUCUGUUAUGCCCGGACAGGGCCACCAGAGGGCUCCUUGGUCUAGCGGUGACGCCAGCGUCUGGGAAGACACCCGUUACCAGGCGGAUCGUGGCCCAGCCGUAGCAAAAGGUGUCAAGGAACACCUUUUGCAAAAGGUGUCAACACCCGCUACUUAGCAGACUGGGAAAGGGGGGCGGUCUCCCUUUCCCCGGGGGAGUUUAGAGAAGACUCUGUUCCUCCACCUCUUGUGGAGGGCCUGACAUCAGUCAGGCUUGCCCGUAGUUAUCCGGAGGCCUAACUGUCUCCCUGUGAUGCUGUGCUUCAGUGGUCACGCUCCUAGUCUGCCUUCAUUUUCCAUCCUGUACACCUGGCUCUGCCUUCUAGAUAGCAGUAGUAAAUUAGUGAAAAUACUAAUAGUCCCUGAUAUGCAGAAAUAAUGGCAUAAGCUGUCUUUCUCUCUGUCUCCUCUCCCUCUCUGCCUCGGCUGCCAGGCAGGGAAGGGCCCCCUGUCCAGUGGACACAUGACCCAUGUGACCUUACCUAUCAUUGGAGGUGACUCACAUUCUUUACCCUGCCCCUUCUGCCUUGUAUCCAAUAACAGCGCAGUCAGACAUUCAGGGCCACUACCGGUCUCCGCACAUUGGUGGUAGUGGUCCCCCGGGCCCAGCUGCCUUUUCUCUUAU